rnacentral:rRNA from 1 species
AUGCCGGCAAUGCGUGCGGCCUUGCGGAAGGCGAAGUGUGUCUGGUCGGAGCAGUAGACGACGAGGUCGCAGAUCCUGUUCCCGCCGAUCUCGGCGAGCUUCCGGUCCCUCGCGGCCACAAGAGUGCAGAGUAUCGCCUCACAAGAGGUACCAAGAAGAGUUCCACCGCCACCACCGGCGAAGAGGAGACUCUCCGGCAGGUGCAGCGCCUUUCCGAGCCAGUCCACGACCAGCAUUUCAAGCUCGGUGGCGGCCGGUGAGGCGGCCCAUGUGAACGGGACGACGUUGAUGCCCGCGGUGAGCGCCUCCCCUAGGGCGCCGAUGGUGCUGCUUGACGCCGGGAAGUGCGCCAUGUGGCGGGCGCUCUGCCAGUGCGUCAGGCCCGGGAGGAUGAUGUCGCGGACGUCCUUGAGCGCGGAGCUGAACGCGUCCGGCUCCGGACGGAAGGGUGCGUCCGGGGGGAGCAAGUUGCGGAGGAAACCAGGGGUAACGCUGGGGUGCACGGGGUAGUCGCCCAUGCGGUCAUAG